rnacentral:rRNA from 1 species
CCUACGGGAGGCAGCAGUGGGGAAUCUUGCGCAAUGGGCGAAAGCCUGACACAGCCAUGCCGCGUGAAUGAUGAAGGUCUUAGGAUUGUAAAAUUCUUUCACCGGGGACGAUAAUGACGGUACCCGGAGAAGAAGCCCCGGCUAACUUCGUGCCAGCAGCCGCGGUAAUACGAAGGGGGCUAGCGUUGCUCGGAAUUACUGGGCGUAAAGGGAGCGUAGGCGGAUAGUUUAGUCAGAGGUGAAAGCCCAGGGCUCAACCUUGGAAUUGCCUUUGAUACUGGCUAUCUUGAGUAUGGGAGAGGUAUGCGGAACUCCGAGUGUAGAGGUGAAAUUCGUAGAUAUUCGGAAGAACACCAGUGGCGAAGGCGGCAUACUGGCCCAUUACUGACGCUGAGGCUCGAAAGCGUGGGGAGCAAACAGGAUUAGAUACCCUGGUAGUCCACGCCGUAAACGAUGAGUGCUAGUUGUCGGCAUGCAUGCAUGUCGGUGACGCAGCUACGCAUUAAGUACGACCUCCGCCGUCGGGGUAGGUACGGUCGGCGAAGUAAGUUAAACGUUAACUUAAAUUAGUAGUUAGUUACGGCGUUGAGACGUGCCGACGGACGACGACGAGGGGAGGAGG